rnacentral:rRNA from 1 species
AGCGUAGACGGCACAGCAAGUCUGAUGUGAAAGGCAGGGGCUUAACCCCUGGACUGCAUUGGAAACUGCUGUGCUUGAGUGCCGGAGGGGUAAGCGGAAUUCCUAGUGUAGCGGUGAAAUGCGUAGAUAUUAGGAGGAACACCAGUGGCGAAGGCGGCUUACUGGACGGUAACUGACGUUGAGGCUCGAAAGCGUGGGGAGCAAACA